CUCACUCUCGUCUCCGGUCGCCACUUCUCAUCCAACCAUCAAUCUUAUCACCAUUUCUAAUCUCCAUCUUCUCUUUCGCUCUCAUUCUCAACCUCCUCUUUCUUCUCCUUUCUUCAUUCUCUGUCAAUAUCCCAACUCUCUCUUUCUUCUCCACUUUAAACAGCUCUUUCUCUUCAUUUUUUUGUUUUCACUUUCCUCAUCCAAAAUUCUCUUCAUCUUUCGAAGUCUCUGGCGCGGAGGUUCUUGGAGACCCAUUUGAGAUAGAGGAUGGACGAUGAGCAGGAGAUGGAGAGGUUCGGAAUGGAGAACGACUUUGAGGGAGGCCAGUGGAUAAAUGGCGAAUUUUAUUUCAAGAGGCGCAAGGAAAAACGAACUCAAACCAAAGACGAUGUUUUGUAUGGCGUUUUUGCCUCUGAUUCUGACUCUGAUGAUGGUUACUCCAAGAAGCGGAGAAAAGACCGUGACUUUGGAAGAAAAGCUGAUUUGACAAAGCCUGUCAAUUUCGUUUCUACAGGUACUGUAAUGCCCAAUCAGGAGAUUGAUAAGAAUCUCAAAGAGGAAAAUGAUGAUAUUUUAGAGGAGGAUGAUGACAACCGCCCUGGUUUAGGUAUUGGUUUUGGAUCUGGAAAUUCUGGUGCUGGUUUAGGUUCAGGUUUAGGGUUUGGUGGAAAUAGUUCUAAGAAAAAGGAUGCUGAGGUUAAAGCUUGUGAUUUGGAUGGUGAUGAUGAUAGUUUCUUGCCAACAGCAUUUGGGAGGAAGAUAAAGGAGGGAGCACAGAGGAGGGAGAGAGAGCGGGAGAGGGAAAAAUCGGAGAAAAAGAGUCAAGGCGGAAAAGGGAGAGAAAUUGGCACUGGGGAUGUAGGGGGUUUUGAGAAGUAUACAAAGGGAAUUGGUAAGAAGUUGCUGGACAAGAUGGGGUAUAAAGGUGGUGGGCUUGGAAAGAAUGAGCAAGGGAUUGUGACACCGCUUGAAGCAAAGAUGAGACCCAAGAAUAUGGGUAUGGGUUUCAAUGAUUUUAAAGAAGCACCAGCAGCAAAGUUGCCAGACUUGGAAAAGUUGGCGGAAAAGAAGAUUGUGGGGCAGCAACAACCUGUUGGGAGAGCAAAGGAGAAGCUUUGGUCAAAGCAGACAAAGGGGAGGAAGAAGGAAGAGUAUAUUACCAUGGAGGAAUUGUUAGCAAAGAAACAAGAACAAGGGUUUGAGGUGGUUCAGAAGGUGAUUGAUAUGCGAGGGCCACAAGUUAGGGUUUUGACAAACUUGGAGAAUUUGGACGCAGAGGAGAAAGCAAGGGAGAAUGAUGUUCCGAUGCCUGAGCUACAGCAUAAUAUAAAGUUGAUUGUGGACUUGGCUGAGCUUGAUAUUCAGAAGAUUGAUAAUGAUUUGAGGAAUGAAAAGGAGACUGCAUUGAGUUUGCAAAAGGAGAAGGAGAAGUUGCAGGAGAUGGCCGAUGAACAGAAGCAGCAGUUGGACAAUAUGGAGAAAAUUGUUAAUGUUUUGGGUCAAAUUGAGAGAGAAAAUUCAUUAGGAACUUUAACAUUGGACUCACUUGCAAACUAUUUUAGUGACUUGCUCAGAAGAUUUCCUCAUGAUUAUAAACUCUGUAACUUGUCAUGCAUUGCUUGCUCAUACGCUUUGCCUCUUUUUAUAAGGACGUUUCAAGGUUGGGACCCUCUUCGGAAUCCGUCACAUAAACUGGAGAUUGUGUCAACAUGGAAGAAUUUGUUGCAAACAGAGGAUAGUCAUGAUUUAUGGGAUAUAUCAACACCUUAUUCUCAACUGGUUUCAGAAGUUGUCUUACCUGCUGUGAGAAUAUCUGGCAUCAAUACUUGGGAUGCAAGAGACCCUGAGCCAAUGCUUAGAUUUUUGGAGUCAUGGGAGAAGCUGCUGCCUUCUUCUGUUCUUCAGACCAUGUUGGAUACAAUAAUUUUUCCAAAAUUGUCAACCGCUGUGGACUCAUGGGACCCACGUCGAGAAACUGUUCCAAUCCAUGUUUGGGUGCAUCCAUGGCUCCCAAUGUUGGGACAUAAAUUGGAGGGUUUGUAUCAUAUCAUACGUAUAAAGUUGAGUAAUGUUCUUGACGCUUGGCAUCCAAGCGAUGUAUCUGCUUACACCAUAUUGUCGCCGUGGAAGACUGUGUUUGAUUCAACAAGUUGGGAGCAGCUCAUGCGUAGGUAUAUUGUUCCAAAAUUGCAAGUUGCUCUUCAAGAGUUACAAAUUAACCCUGCAAACCAAAAGCUUGAUCAGUUCUAUUGGGUUAUGUCUUGGGCUUCUGCUAUUCCAAUUCAUCUCAUGGUUGAUUUGAUGGAGAGGUUUUUCUUUGCUAAGUGGCUGCAGGUUUUGUAUCACUGGUUGAACACUUCUCCGAACUUUGAAGAGAUUCAUAAAUGGUAUAUGGGAUGGAAGGGACUUCUUCCACAGGAACUUCUAGCUAAUGAAAAUAUCCGGACUCAACUAAAUCUCGGUCUUGACAUGAUGUCUCAAGCCGCUGAUGGUAUGAAAGUGGUCCAACCUGGCUUAAGGGAGAACCUUAGUUAUCUUAGGGUGUUGGAGCAGAGGCAGUUUGAGGCUCAGCAGAAAGCAGCUGCUCAAGCUCAACAAGCAGCAGCAGCUGCUGCUUCCCAUAUGGAUGGUACAGAUGCACAACGUGAGAUGACAUUGAAAGAAGUUGUGGAGGCAUAUGCACAGCAGCAUGAAUUGCUAUUUAAGCCUAAACCUGGAAGGACACAUAACGGUCAGCAAAUAUAUGGCUUUGGCAACAUAAGCAUAUAUGUGGACUCCCUAAAUCAAAUGGUGUAUGCGCAAAAGGAGGAAGGAUGGACUGCAGUUACACUUGACACAUUGCUGAGGAUGCACAAUAAUUCUAUUGCAAGGAGAUAUUGAAUUUGGUUACUGUGCUUUGAAGAGCUGUAUCAGGGUAAAGUAACUGAUGGCUGAGAGAACAAAGAAUUUCAGUUUUUGUAGGCUGUAUGCAUAAACAGUUUCAAAGAAUUAAGAGACAAGCUUUCAUAGAUCAUGACCACGGAUUGGCACAUUAUCAAUUCGGUUCAACAAAGAAUGGAAUCUUUCUUUCAAGAUGACAAUGUUCACUGAUUCACCAGGUAAAGGAGAAAGAUUUCUGUGGUUUUAGCUUGGCAAAGGAGAAAGAAUUCUAAUAACCAGCUAAGAGUUUUUUACUAGUCCAAAGUUGCAUCAGAGUCUUCUGAAGGGGUAUGUGAAGUGAGUGGUGAGUGAAGAGCUGCUCACUGAUGCAGAAGUUGUGCAUCUUUGAAAGAUGAUCAUAAUUGGCCUUUCCUUGUAGGAGCACAAAUCAAGGUAAUAUAUGAGUUUUAUGUUCUUCAUCCUUCAUCUUUUACUGAUUACAUGCUUAUAAUGUGAAGGCAUUAUUUUUUAGGAUAAUUUGUUUCUUUAUGUUGUGAAAAGUUAUAAUUCUUAAUGAAUUCUAUCUAUAUAUUUUGACUUCACUCUGGUUAGAGCUCGACACUGUACUGAUUUUGGGCUUAAAUCAGCCUUUUUGUCCUUUUUAUCAUUUGUGUCUACUGGUUACAUUGUUUUGAAAUCCAAAUUCUUUGUACUGACAGUUUUAGAUCCUUUUAGAUGAUUGUAAGUAUGAAUAACUGCUGUAUCCCUACACAAACUGAACUCUAAUUUUUCAU